GAUGAACGCUGGCGGCGUGCCUAAUACAUGCAAGUCGAGCGAACGGACGAGAAGCUUGCUUCUCUGAUGUUAGCGGCGGACGGGUGAGUAACACGUGGAUAACCUACCUAUAAGACUGGGAUAACUUCGGGAAACCGUAGCUAAUACCGGAUAAUAUUUUGAACCGCAUGGUUCAAAAGUGAAAGACGGUCUUGCUGUCACUUAUAGAUGGAUCCGCGCUGCAUUAGCUAGUUGGUAAGGUAACGGCUUACCAAGGCAACGAUGCAUAGCCGACCUGAGGGGGUGAUCGGCCACACUGGAACUGAGACACGGUCCAGACUCCUACGGGAGGCAGCAGUAGGGAAUCUUCCGCAAUGGGCGAAAGCCUGACGGAGCAACGCCGCGUGAGUGAUGAGGGUCUUCGGAUCGUAAAACUCUGUUAUUAGGGAAGAACAUAUGUGUAAGUAACUGUGCACAUCUUGACGGUACCUAAUCAGAAAGCCACGGCUAACUACGUG
rnacentral:rRNA from 1 species